rnacentral:rRNA from 1 species
AACGGAGCAGAACAACAGGGAUUGCCCUAGUAACGGCGAGUGAAGCGGCAACAGCUCAAAUUUGAAAUCUGGCUCUUUCAGGGUCCGAGUUGUAAUUUGUAGAGGGUGCUUUGGCGUUGGCUGCGGUCUAAGUUCCUUGGAACAGGACGUCACAGAGGGUGAGAAUCCCGUACGUGGCUGCCAGUCUUCGCCGUGUAAAGCCCCUUCGACGAGUCGAGUUGUUUGGGAAUGCAGCUCUAAAUGGGAGGUAAAUUUCUUCUAAAGCUAAAUAUUGGCCAGAGACCGAUAGCGCACAAGUAGAGUGAUCGAAAGAUGAAAAGCACUUUGGAAAGAGAGUCAAAAAGCACGUGAAAUUGUUGAAAGGGAAGCGCUUGCAGCCAGACUUGCCUGUAGUUGCUCAUCCGGGCUCUUGCCCGGUGCACUCUUCUGCGGGCAGGCCAGCAUCAGUUCGAGCGGCCGGAUAAAGACCUCUGUCACGUAUCUUCCUUCGGGAUGACCUUAUAGGGGAGGUGUAAUGCGGCCAGCUCGGAUUGAGGUCCGCGCAUCUGCUAGGAUGCUGGCGUAAUGGCUGUAAGCGGCCCGUCUUGAAACACGGACCAAGGAGUCUAACAUCUAUGCGAGUGUUUGGGUGUCAAGCCCGGGCGCGCAAUGAAAGUGAACGGAGGUGGGAACCUUUUAGGUGCACCAUCGACCGAUCCUGAUGUCUUCGGAUGGAUUUGAGUAAGAGCAUAGCUGUUGGGACCCGAAAGAUGGUGAACUAUGCCUGAAUAGGGUGAAGCCAGAGGAAACUCUGGUGGAGGCUCGCAGCGGUUCUGACGUGCAAAUCGAUCGUCAAAUUUGGGCAUAGGGGCGAAAGACUAAUCGAACUAUCUAGUAGCUGGGUUCCUGCAAAUCUCUCUCCCCGGUAGAGAAUAA